rnacentral:rRNA from 1 species
GUCAAACUUUUGUAAGGAGAAGAGUGUAGCAAGUAGCACAUACCAAACUAUUUAUGGUGAAAUAUUCCAAACAACUUUCCACCAAUGUGAUUGUCAUACAAACGCCGAUAUAAAACAGGGAUUAGACACCCCUCUAUUCUGCGUGUAAAUCUUCUGCUAAGCACUAAGAUUAACAAAAUUAAAACUUAAACAACAUGGCGGUAAUUUUAAUUCAGGGGAACUUACCUAAUCAAUGACAACCACCAAGGUUAAUCAACUGCUUUAAAUUCCUGUAUGCCGUCGUCGUCAGGUACCACUUAAUGUUUUACCAAGAAAAAAGCCUCCCCCAGGACAAAAGACAGAUCAAGGUGCAGAAAAUAUUGCAGAUAAGGCGAGUUACAAUUUUUAAUUUAAGCGGAUAUAUACAGUGUAUACUAUAUUGAAGUUGGACUUGACAGUAAUUAGAAUAAGUUUUACCUAAUGAAUCUAUUAAAUUGUGCACAA